rnacentral:rRNA from 1 species
UACGGAGGGUGCAAGCGUUGUUCGGAAUCACUGGGCGUAAAGCGCGUGUAGGCGGCCUCUUAAGUCUGAUGUGAAAGCCCGGGGCUUACCCCCGGAAGUGCAUUGGAAACUGGGAGGCUAGAGUACCGGAGAGGAAGGUGGAAUUCCUGGUGUAGCGGUGAAAUGCGUAGAUAUCAGGAGGAACACCUGUGGUGUAGACGGCUCUCCGGACAGUAACUGACGCUGAGACACGAAAGCGUGGGUAGCAAACAGG